GAUGAACGCUGGCGGCGUACCUAAUACAUGCAAGUCGAGCGAACGGACGAGAAGCUUGCUUCUCUGAUGUUAGCGGCGGACGGGUGAGUAACACGUGGAUAACCUACCUAUAAGACUGGGAUAACUUCGGGAAACCGUAGCUAAUACCGGAUAAUAUUUUUAACCGCAUGGUUCAAAAGUGAAAGACGGUCUUGCUGUCACUUAUAGAUGGAUCCGCGCUGCAUUAGCUAGUUGGUAAGGUAACGGCUUACCAAGGCAACGAUGCAUAGCCGACCUGAGAGGGUGAUCGGCCACACUGGAACUGAGACACGGUCCAGACUCCUACGGGAGGCAGCAGUAGGGAAUCUUCCGCAAUGGGCGAAAGCCUGACGGAGCAACGCCGCGUGAGUGAUGAAGGUCUUCGGAUCGUAAAACUCUGUUAUUAGGGAAGAACAUAUGUGUAAGUAACUGUGCACAUCUUGACGGUACCUAAUCAGAAGGCCACGGCUAACUACGUG
rnacentral:rRNA from 1 species